rnacentral:rRNA from 1 species
AGCGAACGCUGGCGGCAGGCUUAACACAUGCAAGUCGAGCGCCGUAGCAAUACGGAGCGGCAGACGGGUGAGUAACACGAGGGAACGUACCUUUUGGUUCGGAACAACACGGGGAAACUUGUGCUAAUAGCGGAUAAGCCCUUACGGGGAAAGAUUUAUUGCCGAAAGAUCGGCCCGCGUCUGAUUAGCUAGUUGGUGAGGGAACGGCUCACCAAGGCGACGAUCAGUAGCUGGUCUGAGAGGAUGAUCAGCCACACUGGACUGAGACACGGCCCAGACUCCUACGGGAGGCAGCAGUGGGGAAUAUUGGACAAUGGGCGCAAGCCUGAUCCAGCCAUGCCGCGUGAGUGAUGAAGGCCCUAGGGUUGUAAAGCUCUUUUGUGCGGGAAGAUAAUGACUGUACCGCAAGAAUAAGCCCCGGCUAACUUCGUGCCAGCAGCCGCCGUAA